rnacentral:rRNA from 1 species
UACGUAGGGUGCGAGCGUUAAUCGGAAUUACUGGGCGUAAAGCGUGCGCAGGCGGCUUUGCAAGACAGAUGUGAAAUCCCCGGGCUCAACCUGGGAACUGCAUUUGUGACUGCAAGGCUAGAGUACGGCAGAGGGGGAUGGAAUUCCACGUGUAGCAGUGAAAUGCGUAGAUAUGCGGAGGAACACCAAUGGCGAAGGCAAUCCCCUGGGCCUGUACUGACGCUCAUGCACGAAAGCGUGGGGAGCAAACAGG